CAGUCGAACGAGCAAGAGAGAGCUUGCUUUCUCGAGCGAGUGGCGAACGGGUGAGUUUCGCGUGAGGAACCUGCCUCAAAGAGGGGGACAACAGUUGGAAACGACUGCUAAUACCGCAUAAGCCCACGGGUCGGCAUCGACCAGAGGGAAAAGGAGCAAUCCGCUUUGAGAUGGCCUCGCGUCCGAUUAGCUAGUUGGUGAGGUAAUGGCCCACCAAGGCAACGAUCGGUAGCCGGACUGAGAGGUUGAACGGCCACAUUGGGACUGAGACACGGCCCAGACUCCUACGGGAGGCAGCAGUGGGGAAUAUUGCACAAUGGGGGAAACCCUGAUGCAGCGACGCCGCGUGGAGGAAGAAGGUCUUCGGAUUGUAAACUCCUGUUGUUGGGGAAGAUAAUGACGGUACCCAACAAGGAAGUGACGGCUAACUACGUGCCAGCAGCCGCGGUAAAACGUAGGUCACAAGCGUUGUCCGGAAUCACUGGGUGUAAAGGGAGCGCAGGCGGGAAGACAAGUUGGAAGUGAAAUCUAUGGGCUCAACCCAUAAACUGCUUUCAAAACUGUUUUUCUUGAGUAGUGCAGAGGUAGGCGGAAUUCCCGGUGUAGCGGUGGAAUGCGUAGAUAUCGGGAGGAACACCAGUGGCGAAGGCGGCCUACUGGGCACCAACUGACGCUGAGGCUCGAAAGUGUGGGUAGCAAACAGGAUUAGAUACCCUGGUAGUCCACACCGUAAACGAUGAUUACUAGGUGUCGGAGGAUUGACCCCUUCAGUGCCGCAGUUAACACAAUAAGUAAUCCACCUGGGGAGUACGAC
rnacentral:rRNA from 1 species